rnacentral:rRNA from 1 species
UACGUAGGGGGCAAGCGUUGUCCGGAUUUAUUGGGCGUAAAGAGCGUGUAGGCGGCCAUACAGGUCCGUUGUGAAAACUGGAGGCUUAACCUCCAGACGUCGAUGGAAACCGUAUGGCUAGAGUCCGGAAGAGGAGAGUGGAAUUCCACGUGUAGCAGUGAAAUGCGUAGAGAUGUGGAGGAACACCGAUGGCGAAGGCGGCUCACUGGCCCGGUACUGACGCUGAGGCACGAAAGCUAGGGGAGCAAACGGG